GGAGCGAAGGACAAACCGAAAAUCUUCGUCGGCGCAUCCACGGGUUGCAGCGACAGAAGCAGAGUUUGUUAUGGGGGUGGGCAUUAGACGUGUCGCAGGAGCGAAACG
rnacentral:sRNA from 1 species